GUAUACCAUUUGGAGGGAGCAAAUACACAAGUUGUGAAUUUUAUUGUAAUUCAUUUUCUCUAUGUAACUAAAAAAGAUACCACUCUUAGGUGGGGCUGAACGCGAUGGAACUGAUAAUAAAUUACACAUUUGGCACUUCUUGCUUGAUCAUUCCUCUUCUUUUUGCCCGGGCAAGAGGAUCCUGAACUUUGCAAAUAUGUUCUCUCACUCACUGAUCUCCACCCCAUUUGACUAUAAAAAAGCUUUGGAAGGUUUCCUGAACUGAAAAGAUACUGCUUUUCUGAAUAGACUUUGUUCUGGAAAACAAACAUAAUUAUUUUCAGGAUAUGGAUAAAAAUACUUAGAGAUAGGAUUUCACAAAGAAUAAUAUAGAUAUUCUCUGAAACAUUUCUUCAGAAGUUAAUCUCAACGCAGAACUUUUCGAAAAAAUAUGUUUACUGCACAAGGAUAUAGUUACCUUUACGGGACACAUUCUGAUGAUAAACUUGCAAUGUGGUAACAACGUGAUGGUUUAUUAGCUACUUUCAAAACGUCAUAAUUUGUAUAUACAUGUCAUCUGAAAGUUCAUCCAUGCGUUAUUUCCAGUUAUAUUUUUCUCCUUUAGUUUGCGCCACUAGUAUGCUAAUAGUAAGCAUCUGUUUCAUUUUGACAGUUAUUUGGAGGAAGUUCUUCAGGGGAGCUGAGCAAGAAUGCAUUGAAAAACAAGAAAAAGCGGGAGAAACAACGGGAGAAAAAACAAACUGAGGGUGCUUCUGGAACUGGUGGUUCAUGAUCAGAUGCAACUUUACAGAAUGCUGUCUUUGACAAUGCAGGUCAUGAGGGGCCUAAAGCAAUAUAAGGUUUUCAUGGACCCUCAACAUACCGGAGAUUUAUUUGAUUUGGCCUAAUAUUUGUAGAAAAUAUAAAUCAAAUUUUGUUUCA